rnacentral:lncRNA from 10 species
UACGACCACAAUCCAUUUUGACUUAUAGGAUUUUUGCUAAGAAAUUUGCAGUUAAUAUGAUAGGUUUUCCUUUAUAGGUUAACUCAAGCUUUUACUUCAGAGCUCUUUUCAAUCUUGAAUUUAGGUAACCUGAUGAUAUGUGCCAAGAUGAUGAUAUUUUUGUGUUACAUUUCCCAGGUAUUUCUUGUUGUAUAUUCACCACUACAUGAAGAUGCAACAGUCUCUCGUUGUCUGAGAUAAUACCAGAGUUCUUUGUAUUACAUCCAAUAUCAGUAAUCUUUAAGCCUGCAGUCCCCUUCAGUGCAGCCUGAAUCUCCUUCAUCUCUCAGACUCUGAAGUUUACUUUGAGUAAUACCCAACUGCAUUUUUGCAUCUGCAGAAAAUGUCCAAUGGACAUGGUGCUACUAGAGUUAAAUUUCCCUGCUCACUGCAGAACCCUAGACAAAUAAAGGAGGACCUAGGCAAAUUCUCUCAUCUCCCUGAUAGAUAUAUAGAGGCAUUCUAGAAUUUAAUCCAAGUAUUUAAAGUCUCUUGGAAGAAUGUUUCAGGGAAGGGGAAGCCAACAGGGAAGCCAACAGUGAAUUGGAGGACCAUAAAUGAGACCACAGUGAUAACAAUCAAAAAUGGAGAAGGAAAUUCUUUCAAAUUUGUGUACUGGAGGACUUGCAAGAGACUAAAGUAAAUGUAUUAACUACUCCAAGCUUUCCAAAAUAGGAUCAAAAACCAGAUGGAAACCCCUCAGCCUCUAUGAAAAGGCUAAAAGAGGUCUUAGAGAAAUACAUCUCCCUGUCUCCCAAUUCAACAAAAAAACAGGUUUAUUACUUACACCUCCCUGUCUCCCAAUUCAAUGAAUAGGUUUAUUACUUAGGCAGCCCCUGAUAUCAAAAGAAAGUUACAGAAAUAAGCAUACCUGAAUAUCUUUUUAUUUUUUCUCAUCCCCAAGUAGAAACUUUGCAGUAUUUAAAUGUCACUCUCCUAUGUGCCCCACUGGAGGAAGUUUCACAAAGACACUGAGGCUCUCCUCAAUUUCUUAGCUGAAAGGGCAUAUAGAGUGUUAAAAUCUAAAGCUCACCUGUCUCAGAUUUAUUAAAAUACCUAGGUCUGGUCUUAUCAGAAGGGACAAGAGCACCAUAUGAGAAUUAAUCCCAUUUUCUUUAACAGUUCAGGGGAUUCUUAGGCACUGCAGGGUUUUGCAGACUGUGGGUACCCAGGUAUGGUGAAAUAGCUUCUGAUUUACACCACCUCAUAAAAGAAACUCAAGCAGUUAAAAGUCAUUAUUUGACCUGGAAACUUGAGGCUCAAAAUGUCUUUAACUAUCUAAAGUAACUCUUACUAAAAACACCAGCUCUCAGUGUUCCCAUAGGUAAGGCAUUCAGUCUUUAUGAAACUGGGAAAGGGAAUGGCACUGAGAGUUUUAUCUCAGGCUGGAGGUCCAGCUCAAUAGUCAGUGAAUUAGAUAAGCAAGUAACUUAAAUCGGUGAGUAAAGGAUGGGCAGCCUGCCUUCAAGCAUUUGCAGUGAUGGCUUUCUUGGUGCCAGAGGCCAGUAGGAUAACCAUGGGGAAUAACUCAACUACUUACAUACCACACAAUAUAUAGGGUACUGCUACCUUCAAAAUAGAGUCUCUGGCUAACAGACAAUAUCACCUCCCCCAAAUAUCCUAUUUUGCUCCUAGAGGAAUCUACAGUCCAGUCUACAGUCUAGUUAAAAACGUAUCGUUGCCUGAAUUCAGCCACUUCCUCCUAGAAAACACUGAGGAAACUGAACAUGAUUGUGAACAAGUAAUUCUGGUUAAAGAAAAAGAUAAGAAUUACAGUAUUUAUUCUUUGUAAAGUUUUGAUUAAUAAAAAAGGACUUUAUUAAAAAGCACUCAGCUUAAUUAAAAAUGAAUAUAUAAGCUAUAGGUAUAGUUUAAAGGCCUCUAUGUUUUUCUCUUAAUUAGUGUUGUUUUUCUGGAAAAAACAUAUUUGGCUGAAUUACUUUUCUCCACUCUGCCUUGCCAAUGUUGGUGCAUGCCUGAAAGAGUGUAAGAUGACGUCUGGUGACCUGGGACUCCUUAUGAAAACAGAAAAGGUGUUACAGAUUCCAUUUUGAGGAAAAAAAUCUCUAUUUUCCUCAGGGAACCCCUGGAAUUAGUGGUGGCUAAAUCCCUAUGAAAAUCUGUUUUAAUCUUCCAGCUAUGCCUGUUUGUUAGGUCCCAAAAACUACAUGAUUUCCUAGCACUAUUCUUAAAAGGGUAUACCCUGAGCUACUGGAUCUUCUUCUGUCUGUGUAGUCAUAUAUGCAUUAUGUGUAUGAUGUCUCUUUUAAAAAAGCUGUAAUUCAUUGGCCUACAAUAUUUUAGAAAAAAUAAAAGCUGUAAUGCCUCUUACUUUAUGUGACAUCAAUUUUCAAAAAUAAAUAAAAAAUCUUGGAGAUUAUUGGUAAUAUACAAGUGUUUUCUAGACAUAAAGAUGUGGUCUAAAUUACACAAGUCAAAUACUAGGUUUGCUAAAUGUUUCAAGAAUGUAAACUGCUUCUUUCCUCUUGGGGAACUGUUGAUUUUACUUACUUCACAAUGGAUAAGGCCUGGGAACAUACGGAAAUAAUGAUGUUUCUAAUUAUUUUGGAAGGAGUCAAACUUUUUCUGCAGCUAAGGUAUCAUUGAAACAACCUACCAGGUUUUACAUUAAUGUGAAAGUUGCUAAGAAUUGCCAUUAUGACAUGUAAUUGAAACUAUUGAAAAUAGAUUUCAAUGCAAGGUAUGUAAAUACAGUAAAA